AUGAUUUUGGUUGAUUCUAAGACAACGAAAGUGAAGGAUACCGGUUCUGCGGUUAAAAAUGUGUUAUCGGUUAUUGAAUCUUUGAAGAAGCAAGUAGCUAUGAAACAUAUUGUUUCACUCAAGAAUCUAAACAAUAGACAAAAGCUUGGCUGUGAGAAGGGAACUGGUAUCGAUAGAGCAAGGAUGAAUAUGACAAAAAAUUCAGGGAUCUCAUGA
rnacentral:lncRNA from 1 species